AACGCGAAGAACCUUACCUGGGCUUGACAUGCAGAGGAAAUUUUGGUGAAAGCCAGAACCUCCCGCAAGGGACUUCUGCGCAGGUGGUGCAUGGCUGUCGUCAGCUCGUGUCGUGAGAUGUUGGGUUAAGUCCCGCAACGAGCGCAACCCCCGUCGCAUGUUGCCAGCAUUCAGUUGGGGACUCAUGUGAGACUGCCGGUGACAAACCGGAGGAAGGUGGGGAUGACGUCAAGUCCUCAUGCCCCUUAUGUCCAGGGCUACACACGUGCUACAUUGGCGCGUACAAAGGGCUGCGAUACCGCGAGGUGGAGCGAAUCCCGUAAAGCGCGUCUCGGUUCGGAUUGCAGGCUGAAACUCGCCUGCAUGAAGGCGGAGUUGCUAGUAAUCGCGGAUCAGCAUUGCCGCGGUGAAUACGUUCCCGGGCCUUGUACACACCGAUAGC
rnacentral:rRNA from 1 species